UGUUUCAAGUGUGGGCGUGUGUGCGAUCGUGAGUAUAGACCAGGGGAGACCUUUCCCUCAAAACCCUAACAUCAUAAUCAUCAAAUUAAAGGGGUUUAAGGCUGAAUUUGCAAUGCAUGAGCAAGGAACUUUGAUCUCCUAAGUAUUCUUGACAUCAAGGUCGAAGAAAGGAAGGGGAUCAAACCAAGCAAAGGCAAUAGGAGCGCACGACUCCGGUAAAUCCCGCUCUUGGCGAUGCGAGCUCGGACCGAACACACUACAUAGCCCUUUAUGCGCUUCCGGUUAAAGUCGUCUUUUGUAAAUGGGUCAAAACGUUUUCAUAAUGUAAAUAUUAAAUUUAUGUCUAGGAUGUUUCCUAAGUAAGUUUGGAUUUUAAAUCUUGUAUGGUUGUUACUUUUAUAUCUUUUGAAACAUGUCGUAGAAUGUAUUUUGGAAUGAUUUCAUUAUAAAGCAGGAAAACGUUUACUUUA